CUAGUAUAAGCAUUAUACCGUGAAACUGCGAAUGGCUCAUUAAAUCAGUUAUCGUUUAUUUGAUAAUACCUUACUACUUGGAUAACCGUGGUAAUUCUAGAGCUAAUACAUGCUGAAAAUCCCGACUUCGGAAGGGAUGUGUUUAUUAGAUAAAAAACCAAUGCCCUUCGGGGCUUUUUGGUGAUUCAUGAUAACUUUAACGGAUCGCAUAGCCUUGCGCUGGCGACGGUUCAUUCAAAUUUCUGCCCUAUCAACUUUCGAUGGUAAGGUAUUGGCUUACCAUGGUUUCAACGGGUAACGGGGAAUUAGGGUUCGAUUCCGGAGAGGGAGCCUGAGAAACGGCUACCACAUCCAAGGAAGGCAGCAGGCGCGCAAAUUACCCAAUCCCGACACGGGGAGGUAGUGACAAUAAAUACUGAUACAGGGCUCUUUUGGGUCUUGUAAUUGGAAUGAGUACAAUUUAAACCUCUUAACGAGGAACAAUUGGAGGGCAAGUCUGGUGCCAGCAGCCGCGGUAAUUCCAGCUCCAAUAGCGUAUAUUAAAGUUGUUGCAGUUAAAAAGCUCGUAGUUGAAACUUGGGCCUGGCUGGCGGGUCCGCCUCACCGCGUGCACUCGUCCGGCCGGGCCUUCCUUCUGAAGAACCUCAUGCCCUUCACUGGGCGUGUUGGGGAAUCAGGACUUUUACUUUGAAAAAAUUAGAGUGUUCAAAGCAGGCCUUUGCUCGAAUACGUUAGCAUGGAAUAAUAAAAUAGGGCGUGCGUUUCUAUUUUGUUGGUUUCUAGAGACGCCGCAAUGAUUAACAGGAACAGUCGGGGGCAUCAGUAUUCAGUUGUCAGAGGUGAAAUUCUUGGAUUUACUGAAGACUAACUACUGCGAAAGCAUUUGCCAAGGAUGUUUUCAUUAAUCAGUGAACGAAAGUUAGGGGAUCGAAGACGAUCAGAUACCGUCGUAGUCUUAACCGUAAACUAUGCCGACUAGGGAUCGGGCGAUGUUCUUUUUCUGACUCGCUCGGCACCUUACGAGAAAUCAAAGUUUUUGGGU
rnacentral:rRNA from 1 species